CGGGCGGAGAAGAGGACUGUCGGAAAGGAGGGCGUGAACUAGAGGCGCGCGUGCGCAGAAGGCACAGAGGCCGUUCCUUGGAUAAGUUGGUACUAUGUCAACUGAAACUGUUAUUGGAAGUGCUAAGAGAAGUGGGUGAACGCAGGUAUACCUACUGGAAAGCUAUUGUAACUUUGUAGACAUCAGUAAUGAAUGAUUUGGACCAGAAUAAUAGCAAAGGACAUGAAAAUGUGUGGAAGGAUUUCAAAUAUGUAGAGUUUACUGGAUAACUGGAUGCAGAAGGAUCUCAAUGUGCAGCCCUGGCUGGCCUGAAAUUUACUCUGCAGACCCAGCUGGCUUUGACCUCUCAGAGAUCUGCCUCCCUCUUCCUCAGCAGCACAGGGAAACAGAAAAUAAUGAAAAACUGGGAAGCAACUGCUGCUGAAUACUCUCAAAAGGCUUAAAAUCGAGGGCAGCUUUCGUCCGCCCGGCUAGCUCAGUCGGUAGAGCAUGGGACUCUUAAUCCCAGGGUCGUGGGUUCGAGCCCCACGUUGGGCGUUGCGUUUUUGCAUGCUUAAAUUUUAUUAAUGUUUUCAAAACUUCAACUCUCAAAUGUUUGCCAGUUCCGUUAUAACAUUCUUAACUAAUACGGAUUCCUACGCAAAUGAAAUUUAAGUGCUUUCUUAAUCGUCUCUGCAAGAAACACGGUUCUUAAAUGCGCUUGCGCACUCCAAAGCCCAGGCCUACGCCCACGGCUCGGGUUUAAACAAGGAACAAGACUAUUUUUUUAGUGCUAGCGUCCAUAGUUGCUGGUAGGGGGCAGUUGUUCUUUGUUUCUUUUGGGGUUUUUUUUUUUUUUUGGUUUUUUUUUUUCUUCUCUUAAUAAAAAUGUGAUUCCUGAUUUCGGCUGUUUUUCUAAAUCACAAGAGUUCGGAUGUCAAACAGGCGUAGGUGAGGGAGGACACGGAAAGGACUCACUUCCUCAUUUGCUGAGGUUCCUCCGCUUACUUCCGCCUCCCUCCUGUCAGGACUUCUUCGGGGGGCCGGAGGAAGGGCCCCGAGCGUCGUCUUUCCCGCGGUCGGGUGUGCACCGCCAGCACGCAUCAGUUCUCCAGAUGUGGAUCCUUCAGCGCUGCCUCUGAGACUCACUCGCCAGGGAACGGAUGGAUGUGCGAGGGAAGAAGCAGAAGCAGCUCCUUCCCUUCCGCUUUGGCUUCUGAGAAUCGGGGCACCGACCGUCGCGAGAGGCUCCUGGGCGGCCAGGUCCCUCAGUGCCCGGCUCCUUCCUCCAGGCCGGACAGCCUCCCUCGCCUGCUGAGCGCCAGCCUGCUCUCCCUCUCUAAACCGAUCGGAUUUCCUGCCAGUUCCCUUCAGCGUGCCAAGAUUCUGCUGUUUGUCUCAAAGAAACGGAAAACAUCUCCCCCACCCCACCCCCACCUUUCCUCUCUCUGAGACGUGUCUACGUAGUCCUGGAACUUAGAUCAGCCUGGCCUGGAACGCACAGAGGUGCACGCCUGGUUCUCUGGUCUCUUAAACUCGGGGUAUGCACACCCUGUAAUCCUAGCACUAGAGAGGCUGAGUGAGGCAGAAGGUAGCUUGCUGUUGAGUUGGAAGCCAGCCUGGGCUUAGACUCAAAAAGAAAAAAGAAGGGUAGGGUGGGGAGGGGGUAUAUAAUAUAAUCUGUGACGUUGAGCCAUCUUAUUUCUAUGAUGGGCAGCUGAAAGGAAAAACAAAGUUACAACUGAUAAAUGGGCUUUUGGCAAGAGAGGGCUAUUUGGUGUUUGGGGUUGAACAGCCACUAACUUGCUCUUUGAGAAUGGGGCAGGCUAGAGCGAUCUGGUGUGUCUGAAGACAGCAACAGAUAUAAACAGAGAGAGAGAGAGAGAGAGAGAGAGAGAGAGAGAGAGAGAGAGAGAGAGAGAGAGAGAGAGAGAGAGUUUAACCAAAAGUUCUGGACUUGGAUCUCUCACCACUUUCCUGGAGUUGGGUCUACUUUUUGCAUUUUCCAGAUCAUUCUUGCCAGACUUUUGUCGUGCUCUGGCGCCCUACCUGUCAGCCAAAAGGCUAUCAUCUCCAUUUUACUAAACCUAAUAGUAAUUACCAUGCCUGAUCCAUUGGCCUAUUAGAACUGUAUUACAAAUUUGAUCACUUCAUUGUAUAGUCUCCGGAUACCAUCCCCCUUUUAAAACGUCUCAUACAUUCCAUCUCAACCUUAGUUUCCUCUCCUUACACUCCUCCCACCCACCCUGAGCAUCAAUCACCUCCCGCCACUUCUUCCAUCACCCUCUCACCUCCAUGUACCCCAGAUCCAACCCUUAUUUCCCUUCAGAAAAGAAGAGGCCUGCCUCCCUCCCAACGGUAUCACCCGAAGACACCAUAACAAGGUACAAUAAGACUAUGCACAAACCCUCGUUUAAGGCUGGCAAGGCAACUCAGUAGGAGGAAACAGGUCCCAAGAACAGGUAGAAGAGCAGAGACACCCAGAGAACCUAAGUCAGACCCAUGCAGGCUCUGUAACUGUUGCUUCAGUCUUAAUAGUCCUGCUUAGUUGAUUCUGUGGGCCAUGUUCUUUCUCUUGGUGCUCUUGAACCCUCUGGCUUCCUCUGUGGGGUUCCCAGAGCUCCACUUGAUGCUUGGCUGUCUGUGUUUCUGCUCUAUCAGUUGCUGGUUGAAGUCUCUCUGGUGAUUGGACACCCACUUGAGUCCUUUUCUUCUUCCUACUUCCUAACUUGGGAAUGCUCCGUGGAGGAGUUCACUUUCCCUCUUGCUAAAUUUGCACAGCCCACCUCUAUGAAUUCUAGUUAAUGUAGGCCCUCCUCCCAGUGCACUAUACUCGUCUAGGACGCAGUUGCUCAGAGCAUGUAGGUUAAGUCCUGUGGAAGAAACUCUUCUUAUAUAGCCUUGUUGGGGCUGCUAGGUACAGUACUCAUCUUAAAAGGAGGCACUAUUUCUGACCAGAGUGUUAAAAGAAACAACUCCCUGGCCUUCAGAUAGACACAUAUCUGUCCAUGGUGGGCUCAAGUUUCAAAUGCUAGCUUUCUGCUUAGGAUUCCUCACUUUUCUAUUGAUACUUCAUUUCUCUUUCUUAAAUAUGAAAAAAAUUGGGCUGGAGAGAUGGCUCAGCAGUUAAGAGCACCCAACUACUUUUCCAGAGGUCCUGAGUUCAAUUCCCAGCAACCACAUGGUGGCUCACAACCAUCUGUAAAGAGAUCCGAUUCCCUCUUCUGGAGUAUCUGAAGACAGCUACAGUGUACUUAUAUAUAAUAAAUGAAUACAUCUUUAAAAAAAUAUGAAAAAAAUUGCGACAGGGUCUCAUUGUUACCCUGGCUGACUUGGAAUUCCAUAUGUAGAUGAGGUUCUGAACUCAACAGACAUUCUCUACCUCUGAGCUCCUGGGAUAAGACAUACUGCACCAUGGUUUUUGAGAUAUGGUUUCUCUUAUGCCUCGGUGUCCCAAGUGCCUGGAUUACAGCUCUUAAUGUCAAACCCGAAUAGCCAGAUAUCUAGUUAGAUAACCUCAAACUCACUAUGCAGCUCAGGCUGGCAUCAAUGAUGCUGUGAUCUUCUUCUCAUAGCUUCCCUAUUGCUGGAAUUAUACAUGUACCUCUCUGUCCACUGAAACUUACUUGUGAUCUGUCAAAAACUUGUUUCUCUGGAAGUUUGUUCUGUUCUUUGUGGUAAUGCUAUGUGGACCAUAACAUGAUGCCGUCUUACUGACUACAUUUACAAUUCUGCUUCCAAAUAAAGCCACAUUCAC
ensembl:lncRNA